UUCCGCACGGCGGGGCAGGGCCACGGAGAAGCUGCGCCUGGGUAAUGAGACAAUUAGCUCCUUGCAUUCUUCCUGCAGGAACAAAUCCGGGCCCCCAUGGCAUCUGUCCCCUCCUGUUCCUCCAGCUGGCCUCCUUGCCACGCGCACCCUCUCCCCGGAACCCAGCCCCUCUGCUCGCUGCUCCUCGCCCACGAGCGAGCGCACAGAGGGCGCGGGCGAGGCUGGAUCGGGGACCAAGCCAGAGACUGGCAGGGGCGGCGUGAUUGACGACAGUGCACGCGUGCCCCUGAACUGAGCGUCAAAGUUCUCCUGCGCCAUUGGCAGCCCCGGCUCGAAAGCUGCUUCGUAGCCCAGGCAGCAUAUGGCCUGCUGACAGAGCAGCUGCUGGGGAGAAGAGCCCAGAGGAAGCCUCGAGGGAUAAACAGGAGGCGCUCCAGCAGGGCCAGCUCCCCUCCUGCAGGGAAUUCUACUUCCCACCGACAGCAACAGACCAAGAGGCCUCCUGCUCCUGGCCGGGAGUGACCAGCUUCUGAGAGGCUGCAGCCUUCCCUAAGAGGUAGAAACGCGGAGCAAGUAUGAAAAACUGUGCCCAUUCAUUCGGUGGAAAAAGUCAACCAAAACCAAAGCAGAGCCAGGCCCAGGAGACAGGAAGGAUUCAAUUCUGCUUCUAAGCGUUGCUCGGCACAGUCCUGAAGCCACCUUGGAGAGGCAGCUCCCCAAAUCAAAGGGGCCUGGAGUUUUUGCUUUUCCAGUCUGCUCUGGAGUCUCCUGAGAAACAGCUGUAAUUAUCUGGUCUCCAAACAAACACUUCACGGACAGGAGUGCUUACCAUUAGAUAGGACUGACUGGGAUUUUCCUCAGGUAGGUAGAAAUAUGAUGCCCUGCGGCCCAGGUGCAUCCAAACUUCCUCAGUGACAAACUCCCUCCCUGGGAAGCGUAUUUAAAAAUCCAACCACAGAGCAUCUGCACAGAGCAGAAUCCCAUGGCCCUCUUGGAGACCAGCUCAGUGAGGCUGAGGCGGGGUUUGGAAUUAAAAAAGAAAUUAGUUGCCAUGCUUGCUCUCCUCAGGCAUACAGAAGCCAGGAAAGAGAGAUCUGACACAGAGGUUCAAUCCCUAGACUUAAGAUCAAAAUCUAUUGCUGGAAGUGGCAGGCGUAGGGUGACUUAUUGGACAUUUAUUUUAUGAACUUCUAGGUCAUGUUUUUUCCACCGGAACAUAAAUGUGUUUUAAAGUGCCCAAUCUUUGUGAUAAUAAAAAGGGCUAAAAGUAAAGCAUGGGAUUGUUUACACACAAUAUUAAAACAUAAAAAUACAAUGUAAACAUAACCAUAUGUACUAAAGUAUAAAAAGACAAAUGUAGUUUUGUGAAUAACAGUAGCAAAGUUGAGAUCAGUGUAUUGUACCGAGGUAAGCAGACGGACUUUCAUUUUAAAUGUUUGUCAGUUCUACAAAACAUGCAAAUCCUUCUAUCCAAUACGCUUAUAAUGUUCAAGUAAUCUAUAGAAGAUAAAUAAGCCCUAUUCACAAGGAACCUCAUAGAAGUAUUAUGUAUAAUUCCAGUAAAAUUGUGAAAAAUUCAAUAUCCAAGCAUAAAAUAUUACAUAAACUGAGGCAUAACAACAGAAUGCAAUUUGAAGAUAUUAAAAUAAUUAGAAAAUCCAUAUAGCAAUAUACACAAACACUUGUGACAUGCAAAGUGGGCUGACAGAAAAAAAUUGAUCCAUUUAUAAUUUUUUUUGGUAUAUGAGAGAACAUGGAAAUGCAUACUUUUGUAAAGUGUUAUUUGCUUAAUAAAUACAUAUUUACAGUAAUGUCUCUAAUAUGAUGUUGUAGACAAUAAAGCCCAUAGAAAAUUUCAUUCAGAAGAAGUAGAGACCAUUUAUUUAAGGCUUCCCCCAUUCACAGAAUCCUAGGGUCUUCCUGUGCUGAGGAAGGACCCUUACGGUCAGGCUCAAUCUCUGAAACACACUAAAGAUACUUAUUUCAGUAACCUCGACACAAGGCACCUCGACAUAAGGCACCCCCGGGCUCUCCUAGUCUUCUGUAACUGGUAAACAACCCAGCAGGCUUUUCUCAAACUUCUUGUCUACCUCUGGGAGGGAUCCAAGCUGGGGGGUGUUGGGAGGGGGUGGGGAAGGCAGAUGCCCAAGAAUACAUCGAGGCAAACCAGACUUAUCUCGAAUUUUGUUUGUUCAGACCGAAAUUCUUUUGUUCAGAGCAGAUUGGCACCAAUUUCUCAAAAUUUGCAUCAAAGAACAAAGAUUCAUGUUUGAGUAAAAACAGUAAGAAUAGCACAGCUAACUCCCAAAGGUUCCUUCCUCCCACUCAGAGGCUCUGUCUCUGCUCCUCCAAGGCAGGGAACCAAUCCUGCCUGGUCUGGAACAGUCUCUGCAGGAGAGGCACAGUGUCCUCGGGAAGGCCUCCUGCUCACAGGCUCCGGGAAGAGUGGUCAGAGGCCGGUGUGAGGACAUCAAGUUUUCUCAUUGUUGGAUGAGGGACAGAGUUCCUGAGCCUCGAAUUUCCCAGCUUCAAUUCUGGAUAAAUGGUGCAUGAGUAAUUCCUUAGGCACACGCUAGAUUCGUGAGGAAAAAUGCUCCAAGUCACAAAGCCCAGGCUCAGUUUUGGUUCUGCUUCUUAUUUGCCUUGGAAUUUAAGGAUCCCUGCAUUUCCUUUUUGAACCUCAAUUUCCUUACUUAUGAAAUGGGAAAAUAACUUCUGUUUUGUGUAAUUCACAAGCUUACUGUAAAGCUCACUUAAAUGCCAGAUGGGAAGUACUACGCUUGGUAACUGAAAAAUAUUAAGCCUGUUAAGUAUUUUAAUAACUAAAAAUAAAAGAUGACAUUGUUAGUU